rnacentral:lncRNA from 1 species
GUCACCUGGAAGUGGUGUCACCCCACGGCUCAAUGGAUGUCACCUGGUGGCAGAUGUCACCCGGUGGCGGAUGUCAGUCGCUGGCUCGAUGUCACCUGGCUGCUCGAUGUCACCUGCUGAUGGGUGUCACCCGGUGUCACGAUGUCACCCACAGUCAGUUGUCUUCAGCCCUUCCGGUGGUGAAUGUCACCCGGUGGCACGAUGUCACCCGGAAGCGUUGUCACCCCAUGGCUCAAUGAUGUCACCUGGUGGCAGGUGUCACCCGGUGUGACCUCAGGACACGCGUGGCCUUUGCUUAGUACCCGAAUGGGAUAAAUUAUCCCCCU